CAGGAUUCCAGCUGAAAGCUGGCGGCAGCGGCUGCGGCUGCUCUGCACUGGGGACCAGGAGCGCGACCUCGCCCCUCCCGGACGCCCGCCCAGAGGAGUGAGCAGGCCUCUUACCCCUCCAAGACCCAGGUGACUUACCAGGUGUCCGUUGCUGCAUGAGUAACCCCAGGCAAGCACAGCAGAAGAACCACCCAGCUGAGCCCACACCAAACUGCUGACCAACAGAGUCAUGAGAAAAGGAAAUUGUUGUUUAACAGGUUUUUGGAGUGGUAUCUGAUGCAGAAAUAGAUAACUGAAAAAUCAUCCCCAUUUUGCAAAUAAGAAAACAGAGGCACAGAAAGCACCUGGUUUUGUUCAAGUGGCGAUGUGCCGAGUUAAAAAGGUCUCACGUCUCAGACUCCUUUGCAGCCAGGAGUAGCCAUGUGAUGACAUUUUGGCCAAUGAGAUAUGAAAGUCUGCUUGUGGGGCUUAUGUGAAUGUCAUUGUUUUACUGGUAAGUAAGGAAAACACUAAGCUGGUGUGAACAUUUUUUGCCCUUAGUCCUGCCCUCUUCUUUGAGUUGGGAUGUGGAUAUGAUGUAUGGAGGUGCAGCAGCCACUUUGAGCAUGCAGGGAUGGAAGCAGUACCCAGAGGAUGCCAGAAUAGGAAGCCAAAGGAGCUGUGUCUCUGAUGCUCCCUGUAGGCAGUGGUGCCCCAGACCAUCUGUUUACCCUUGGUGUUUUUGUCAUAAGAGAAAAACAAACUCUUAGCUUGUUUAAGUUGCUAAAUUGGGUUUCUGUCAAAUGCCAUCCUGACUGAUACAAAUAGCAAAGGAUUAAGAGAGGCCCUUAGGAUGAUAGCUGAAGCCAUCACUCACCAUUUGCAAAACAUAAUAGUACUGCAGAAGUCAAACAUGAAGGGUGUCUUGUCAUCCUUUCAUACAAUUUUCAUGGAAAUAUACUUCCAAAAAAAUCAACCUUAGAUUUAAUGUUUUUAAGCAAAUGUUUCAUUCAAGUACAAUGUAAUAUGGAAAAGCACACUGGAGUUAUAUUUGUUUGUUCUAAAGAAUUAUUACCUCAUUGCAAUUAUAACCUAAGCUUUAGUAAAU